UAGCCGUAAACGAUACUCGCUAGGUGUCGGCCACGGUGCGACCGUUGUCGGUGCCGUAGGGAAGCCGUGAAGCGAGCCACCUGGGAAGUACGGCCGCAAGGCUGAAACUUAAAGGAAUUGGCGGGGGAGCACAACAACGGGUGGAGCUUGCGGUUUAAUUGGAUUCAACGCCGGAAAUCUUACCGGGACCGACAGCAACCUGAAGGCCAAGCUGAAGACUUUGCCGGAUUAGCUGAGAGGAGGUGCAUGGCGUAGUCGUGU
rnacentral:rRNA from 1 species